rnacentral:misc_RNA from 1 species
AAUUCUCAAAAAACCUUUUCUGCUCAUUGAAAAGGAUUUUUGGACUUGGAGGUUCAAUGCUUGCCUUUUGCUUUCUGAAAGCGAGCUCCUCUCAAAUGAAUUAGUGGGGGUCCACUUUGCUGGUCCUUGACGUGAUAAUAUGUUUCUACGUUUUGGAUUUUGCAUCGUCCCUUUGGAUGCCUGCUCCUAACCGUCCUCUGGACACAUAAAAGAAAA